AUUGAACGCUGGCGGCAUGCCUUACACAUGCAAGUCGAACGGCAGCACGGGAGCAAUCCUGGUGGCGAGUGGCGAACGGGUGAGUAAUAUAUCGGAACGUGCCCGGUCGUGGGGGAUAACGUAGCGAAAGCUACGCUAAUACCGCAUACGAUCUACGGAUGAAAGCGGGGGGAUCGCAAGACCUCGCGCGAUUGGAGCGGCCGAUAUCAGAUUAGGUAGUUGGUGAGGUAAAGGCUCACCAAGCCGACGAUCUGUAGCUGGUCUGAGAGGACGACCAGCCACACUGGGACUGAGACACGGCCCAGACUCCUACGGGAGGCAGCAGUGGGGAAUUUUGGACAAUGGGCGCAAGCCUGAUCCAGCAAUGCCGCGUGCAGGAUGAAGGCCUUCGGUUGUAAC
rnacentral:rRNA from 1 species